UUUCUCCGCGUCUUAAUUUGAUCAUCUUUUUACUCCGGCUAGUCAGUACACACAACCUCAUCUAAGUUGUCACUUUGUGAGAGAUGCAGCGUGAGUGAAUUGUGAGAAUGCCGUGCUUCUCGCAGUACGAGCAGGUACGCUACUAAGAAAGAUGUUUCGUGCCAGGUUCCCAGUUGAUAUUGUGCGUGAUUGAGUGGUACGAAACCAGUAGUUGAGUGCUCUGAACUUAUCAAGGCAACUGUCGUGUGUGCACGAAGCAUUUUGCAUCAGAAUGUUACGAGGUCGUUCACUUGACGGCCGAUUUGGACUGUAAAAGUCGCUGGAAAGGGAUGCGGCACCUGCCUCGUUCGACGACAACAAAGAGGAGAGGAUAGCAACAAAGGACCAAAGUUGCGGGCCCCAGGAAAGAGGUACAUACAGCAGCACUGGUGAAGCAACGUCUGGUGCUACCAUAAUGGUGCCACAGUAUCGUGAACAUGUACAUGUGUGCACACAUGGACAACCAAUGAUAAUGGCAACCUGUUUCCGGUAAAAUGGCUCAUGAUACUCUGGCAUGUCAUGGAUAUUUGGACCAUAACGUUGCUUCACAUAUUCAUGAGCAUCAAAGUCACCAUGCAAGAUUUGCAGAUCAAGACAUUGGGAAGCUGCUUUGGCCCCACGAAGGAACUGGAACAUUCGAAGUGUUGUAGGGGAUAGUGGGUGUACUUCCCCUUCUGAAGGACAUCCCGCCAUUGUGUGCACUAAAAGUUUCCUUGUCUCAGUGCUGUUACUCGGUCAUGUAUCAAAGUAUGUCAUGGUUAUGUCCAGGGGCUUUCUGGUGCUCUGCUCGAUCUCUGUGGACGAUAGCUGUUCAUGAGCCCCCGAACAGAAGGAAGAGACUACACAAGGGGGGCUCACCGCAAGAGUUACAGUGAAUGAGUAAACGCUAACAACUCUGCAAGGCAUUAAAUGCAAGUCGACAGCAGAAGGGCUUCGGCGAACAUGUACAAACAGUCUCAUACCUAGGAUUUUUAGUUUUUGGCAUUUCAUUCGCCAUUAAUCGGUGGCUUCUGUAGAAGCGUAGGGGAUGGGGAAACCAACACAAGAUUUUGGAGCACACAGUAAAUGGUACUCCAUGUUCCUUAGCCAUUUUUACUACAUGAAGUGCCAGGGAAAAAUCAAAGGGGUUGGGACGCUUUCAUAGACGUGGUUUGUUACAUCAUGGGUGCGUCAUGCAUUGCGCUCCAUAAUGCUGAUCAAUCUGUUUUUUUUUUUUUUUCAUGUGUCAUAUUUCGUGAGAUAAAAGCUCUCGAACAGAUGCCUGACUAACGCACGAAUGUCAAGGACCUCAGAAAUACAGCCAAUUCCACUGAUAGCCCUGAGGUCUGUGACGUCAGAGCUGCUUGAGCUUUGCUAUUCAAGGUGCCCAUUUUCUACACUCUAUUCCAACCUUGGUUUGUAAAACACACAUUGGUACGAAGAAGCUUUUAUGUUCAUGUGGGAUGGUGGUGUUGCAACCCCUUUCACUGGUUUGUGGGGAAUGACCUGAUUCUGCACCUAAGACUUACCACAGAACACCUGAACUGACACCUGUGUUCUGUCCAUCUUGCAGUGUGCUUGUUUACCUGUUGCGAGGGAUUAUGGGGGGAGUCAGAUAGUUUUAUGAUCUCUGUGUAUUCAAUAAAAUUAUGGUAUAUUCAGUGUUACGUGUAAAAUUACAGUAUCUGUGGAAUGUGUGGAGGUGUGCAUUGAUUCAAGAAGUAAAUCGGCUCCUGAAACCAGCAUGCAGAUCCAGAUGUAA